rnacentral:rRNA from 1 species
UACGGGGGGGGCAAGCGUUGUUCGGAAUUACUGGGCGUAAAGGGCUCGUAGGCGGCCAACUAAGUCAUACGUGAAAUCCCUCGGCUUAACCGGGGAACUGCGUCUGAUACUGGAUGGCUUGAGAUUGGGAGAGGGAUGCGGAAUUCCAGGUGUAGCGGUGAAAUGCGUAGAUAUCGGGAGGAACACCAGUAGCGAAGGCGGCUCGCUGGGCCGUUCCUGACGCUGAGACGCGAAAGCUAGGGGAGCGAACAGG